rnacentral:rRNA from 1 species
GACGAACGCUGGCGGCGUGCUUAACACAUGCGAGUCGAGCGGUAAGGCCCUUUCGGGGGUACACGAGCGGCGAACGGGUGAGUAACACGUGGGUGACCUGCCCUUAGCUCUGGGAUAAGCCUGGGAAACUGGGUCUAAUACCGGAUAUGACUCCAUAACGCAUGUUGUGGGGUGGAAAGCCUUGUGCGGCUAGGGAUGGGCCCGCGGCCUAUCAGCUUGUUGGUGGGGUGAUGGCCUACCAAGGCGACGACGGGUAGCCGGCCUGAGAGGGCGACCGGCCACACUGGGACUGAGACACGGCCCAGACUCCUACGGGAGGCAGCAGUGGGGAAUCUUGCGCAAUGGGCGAAAGCCUGACGCAGCGACGCCGC